AUUGAACGCUGGCGGCAUGCCUAACACAUGCAAGUCGAGCGAGCGGCGGACUGGUGAGCAAUGUAUGGGGAUCUGCCUGAUGGAGGGGGAUAACUACUGGACACGGUAGCUAAUACUGCACACCAGCAGUUGCACCUAUAUGGGAUUAGCUGGUAGGUGAGGUAACGGCUCACCUAGGCGACGAUCCUUAGCUGGUCUGAGAGGAUGAUCGGCCACACUGGGACUGAGACACGGCCCAGACUCCUACGGGAGGCAGCAGUGGGGAAUAUUGCACAAUGGGCGCAAGCCGGAUGCAGCCAUGCCGCGUGUAUGAAGAAGGCCUUCGGGUUGUAAAGUACUUUCAGUCGGGAGGCGUUACCGACAGAAGAAGCACCGGCUAACUCCGUGCCAGCAGCCGCGGUAAUAC
rnacentral:rRNA from 1 species